GCUCUGUUUUGAUUGCUCCUGCCCAGGCCUAUUUGCUAUUUAAUAUUUUUAAUAGCACUUCUGUUUGGGACCAUGGUGAUGUGAUUAUAAUGAGACUUUUUCCAUGCACCAGUAGAUAAUUACUUGAGCUCCAAGAGAUAUGAAAAGUAAAAUCUGUUUGCUUUGUCCAAGGCACUGGUUGCCAAGUAACCACUUAGCUUCUGAACUUUGACCCAAGUUAGUGGCCAUAACUUAACUUUUUCUUUUUUACUUGCAUGGUUCAUUAAUAUAUAACCCUGUGUUUAGCUUAAUUCUGCGGGAAAUUAGGCUGAACCUUGGCCAUUGUCUUAAGCAAUGAGGAUGUUAUAGUGUGCCUACCUUUCUAAACAUUAUAAAUGAAAAACCAUUGAGUCAUGUGAACAAACACACAUAAAAUAAGAUUGCAAGAUGCAGAAUUUUGGGAGUAUACUAACGACAGUGUGAGAAACAGAGCCAGCUUUCUUUGGAACUGUGGAAGAAGAGUGAGGGCAUCUUGAAAGUCUAAGGUUCUGGGGUGAAGAGAAAAGAGAGAAGCAGCAAACAGCACCAGAAAUCUUUGAUGAUCCUUUGCUUCAUGAACAAAGAGUGACUCUGUGAGACUCCCUGGGAUGCUACCAUUAUGAGAGGAGAUAAAAAUGAAGAGUGUGGUGUGACUGACACAUUCCUAAGUGCAUGGCUGAAUGUGUCCAGGAGAUGGCUGGAUUAAAGGAUGACUAUGCUGUGCUGCAGGACUCUGUUGUUCCUGUAAGGCUCACCUUGCUAGAAAGGAGCUAAGGUGUCUUGCAUCCGUUCUUGGUUUGUGCACAGCUUUGGAGAACACGAGCUCUGGAUGUGAGCUGAAAGGUGGCUGGUAAAGAGGGCCUCCCCUCCCUGAGUUCUGGCUUCAGCAUCUGCCCACAGAUAUUUCCUGAAAUCUCAGGGAGCUCAGCCCGCACUGGCGAGAGAGUGUCCUCCCUGUUGGAUACAACUCAUCCCUGAGAUUAAGAGCAUCUGUCAACUGCAGGCACCAGACAAGUGAUGUGCAGAGAGAAGACUGAAAAAAAAAAAAAGAAGGAAACAGCAGCCAGAGAUUCUCUCUACAUCACCCUUCUCCCCUACGUCACUGGAAAUCCAAGGCUCAGAGAUGCGCUGGUUGGAACUUUCCAGUCUGCAGUCCCACCUGCCAUGGGCUAUAGAGGCAGAGGGACUGAGAGGGGCCAGGGAGGGCUCUUGCUUUCAUAGCAACCUUUCUUGUGAAGUUUCUGCCAGUGGUAGCAUCACUGAUCAAAUAUUCAUCAGACCAGCAAUGUGCCCAUCUCACUGAGCAAAGAUAAAAAUAAAUGACACACAUCUUCCUCCCAAGAAGCUCGUGGCCAAAUGCUUCAGUGCAAUAAGAUCUGAGCUAUUUGAAGGAUGUUUUCAGGACUGUAGGAGAAGUUGAUUUAGGAAGUUUCACAUUAAAAAGCCCUGCUCCCUCUUUUUUGAUACAUAAACAGCCAUAUUAAUCAUUAACAUUUACUGAUGCUUUCUCUGAAGUGGGCAAAGUUUUAAGUAGUUUAUGUGAAUUAACUCAGUUGAUCCUAUACUGAUCAAGACUCUAUUCUGGUGUGGAUAAGCAUGGACUAUAAUUAUUAUCCCCAUUUUAUAGAUAAGAAAAAAUCCCAGAGAUGCCAUGCAGCUUGCUCAUAGCACACAGUUUAUAAGUGGGGCAAAAUGGGAUUUGGACUUCAACAGUUUGGACUCAAAGACCUUAGUAACACAGGGGACCUGCUCAUCUGAACUUUCAGGGUUCUGUCUGGGGAAUUUUUGAGCAACUUCAGCUAAUGAUGUUGAGGUUGAUUUUGGCCCUUUGACUCCUUUCUGUACUCUGGUGAGUUGCAAGUUCUGAGUUUGGGUUGAUUUGCAGGGAAACUAAUUCAAUCUUAUGUGCAAGUACAACUGUAUGAUGGCUCUUUCUUGGCUUCCUGGGGAUCCCACUGUUGCUUUUAAGUGUGAUGAAUUUAUUCUGGUUUCAUAGGACAUCACUGGACCAACUAGCCAACCAUUUCCCUCAUAGGUGAGGGCUUUGAACUUUUUCAGAGUUUCACGGUUCACAAAAGCUUUUGUUCGCAAACAAUUUGGUUCAUAAACAGAAGUGUUUGGCAAAAUUUCAUUUUUGUUUUCAAACUCUACAUUGGGUGGGAAAGAUGGCUGUGGUCAUGUUUCCCACACAAACACAAAUGUCGCCAUCUUUUCCAAAAUUGUAGAACAAAUUAAGUUUGUGAACCGAGGUACCACUGUAUUAGAAAUGACAUCCCAUUACUUCUUUUUCCUAGAAAUGAGUCACCAUGUCCAGCCCACACUCAAAGGAGGGGGAAUUAUGGUUCCUCUUGAAUGGAGGAUCAUUAAAGACUUUGUUGGUAUCUCUUCUAAAACUGCUAGAGUAAUUUCACUCAGUUUCAAUUUGUCCUUUCCCUUGUAUUAUUAUUGGAUUUGUAUUUGUCUGGGCUGCACUGUUUAAAAAUGAAAAUUCUCUUCUCUUUUUUUUCCUUUUUCCCACCCUUGUAUCUCAGUACC